ACAUUCCUAGGGAUAGUACAAAUGUCCCUAUCUAUAAAAUUGUUCCAUAUCCGGAUGAGCUAAAUAAUAUAUUAACAGAUAUAACAUUGAUUCAUCUACGCCAGAAUCACGCCACCCUCAAGAGAUCGAUUCCCUAAAAUCACGCCACUCAUGAGGACCAAUCAGAGCUAAGCAUAAAACCAUGGAGUCUCCAAAAACCCAGUCUCGAGUUGCGGAUAUUUAACUAUAUACAUAUCUGAUGCAGCCCGAUUGGCUUAUCGGAACGUUGACAAGAAAUACAUUUUUGCGCCUAACAGCACAAAGUUGCUCGUAACAGGACAGACUGUGCUCGUAACGUACGCUUAAGAGAACAUCUGGGUAAGGACAACUGUUUCCCGCCACAUUAAACUCAAAGUUUCGUCAGACAUGUUAAAUACUCUGGUGUUGCUUCUAAGAUGUAUUGUUCUUUUUAAAUCGCGCUUAGCCGUUUUUGUUUGCCAGAAUCGAUUAGAAAAUUAAUCAUGUCGAUUAAACAAAUUUGUGAAACCGGGAGUACCUGAAAACGAAAUGUUUUGAUUGGAAACGUAAUCCGCAAAAAAAAUACGUGUAAGCCGGAUCAUGCCUGAGCAUUUCCAUAUUAUUUUCUCGAUUUACAUAUAUACAUGUACAAUGUACAUAUAUAUUUGUAUCAAGUUUAUUAAAUUAUCUAAUUAAUGUAAAAAAAAGAAUUCUUGAAACGAUCCAGAUUACCGUAAAUUUCAUAUUUUAUGUUUUGGGUAUGAUAUUUGCAUAAAAAUACGUAUACAAAUAUUCAAUACUAAUAAAAAAUGUUAAAUGGAAUUUGUUCUGAAAAAUUGAGAAAGUUAUUUCGAAUUCAAUUAUGCACUUCUUUUUCCGAUAUCUCGGACAAAAUCCAAGUACUUGCACGCAGCAUGAAUACUAAAAAGCCUUGUGACGCCAGCGGUGUUCGCCACAAGAAUACACAAGUGAUUCAGCGUUCGAUAGGGGCAACCUUAUAGAGAAAAGUAAAACUGACAGUUACACAGACGGUGCUUAUACCUAUACCAACCAGGGUAUUCUAAUUUUUGGAAGGUGUUUGAAAUAUCCAAAAUAUGGUACGACUACAUCCUAUAAAUAUAAUAAUUAAACUCACGUAAAGCCGAAUCGAUAUAGUUAUUUCUGAAGAUCACCCUGGUUCUUACUGAGUUAGUUAAAAACUCUAUAAACAAGAAAUAGUAUUAUUUUCAUGUGUGCAAAUGGACUGGAUGGUUAAAAUCAUAAAGUUAAAAGAAAGUGGUUGAAAAUUUUGUCAAGCAUCUAGGGUAUUGAAUCUUCGUCGCAUAAAAUUGGUUUUCCUCAUUGUUUUUUUUUUCAUUAUAAAAAGUUUCUGAAAGGUCGAAAUUUAUAAAAAGACGGUAGACGAGAAAACGGUUUAUUUGAUUUUUGGGAACGGCUCAAUUCAUUCAUUAGUCGAAACCAUGUGUAACAUCUUGUUCAUAGUCUUAAUGUGCGCUUCGUUAGUUAAUGUGUCAUUUUGUUUAAAGGAAAGCUUCGUGAACGGUUUUAAAAAUGUACAUUCAACGGAGUUCGAUAAUACCGACGGAGGGUAUCAAUAUAAUUCACCAACAAACAGCCACUUUGUACCCCCGGCUACUUCGCCACUUGCUACGGAGUAUGGGUAUGAACCUUCAGGUUUUCAUCCGUGGUACGGGUCUAGACCGCACUACUAUCCGUCAGGGGGGCCAUCAGCUCAAAUUCCAUACCAUUCACAAAACUCUUGGCUUUUGGAAAAACUGAAAUCCAAAAUUAACCUUUAUACGCUCGGAAAAAUAUUAUUAAAGAUUUUGAUUUUAAAAAAAACUAUUAAAUUUAUCGUGUUGAUUUUUUUACUUUUGGUAUUACCAAAGCUAAAAAAUAUUUUUAAAGAUGAAAUGACUGCCGUAAGUGAGGGAACAGACAGAACAUAUUUGCAAACAGACAAAGAUAAAUUAGAACAACGAAUUGAAAAUCUAAACGAUUUUCUUAUUUAUUCUCUACGUAAUUUUGAAUAAAGAAAUCUAUAGAUUUACGAAAACCAUAAAAUAAAUAUUUGAAAUUGCAAUUCAUAUUUUUUAAGUUUUAAAGAUUUGUUUAUUUAUGUUUAGGUUAAGAUGUUAAAAUAUAUCAUUAAGUUUUUAAAGUUUUGUAAAUUUAUUUGUGUAGUAAGAUCUUUAAAAAAUAUAUAACUCAUAAAUACAAAACUGCGAGCUUCUAAGGUAACGUAAAGGACUGACAAGAUCUCCAAAAGAAUCCUAGUAGAGGUUUAUAUUAGAGGCUAGUUGGCUUAUAAUCCAACAUAAUACAUCUAUCGAACAAAUGCCUGCAGAGCAAGCUGGUACGUUGAAGAGUCUAGUGAGGCAGCAGGCACAGGGGCAAAUAGUCGCCAAUUGUUUCCCUGUAUUAACUAAUAAUUAAUUGACUAAUAGAGCUGAGCAUGGAAAUAAACAGCACUAAUACAUUGAUGCCAUAAAAAUUGAUUUACAGCGCAGCGGGAUUUUAAAUAUUUUAAUUUUAACAUUUUGGAGAAUGCCGUCGUUAGCAAUAUAACGGCAAAGGAGUCCAAAUCAAAUCGGCAUUUAAAAAUUUAAGGAAUUUGUAUGGGGUGUUACUUGGAAGUACAUUUUUUUGUUUUUGUAUGCACAUUAUAUAUGUAAUUUAUAUUUAUAGAUGACAUAAGGCUAAAAAGGCUUUAAAAGUCCUUCAGCUGCAUAAUAACGCUUCUUCCAAAUUAGUACCACCGCGAACAACAAUAACUAAAUUAAGCAAAUUAAAAAAUCAAAAUGAAAUAAGCAUAUCUAUCCACAAGUAUAGACGGGUUCCCAUUUCACUACCCACCAGACUGUUACCCAUUUCAGUAGCUACAAGCUGGGUUGGAAACUCGCGGGUAAAAAUGGAAAUGAUGAAAAGCAUCGUUAAGGGCUAGUAAAGAAAGUACCCGUGGUCUGUUAGGGAGUAAUGAUAUCACCACCUCCGAACUAGUUUCCAUUACUGCUGGGUGGUUUCUGUGCUACAAAGAGAGGGUCUGUACUAUUACACGGAUGGAAUUGUUGAUGUUAAGGCAGUGGUGUAAAACGUCCCCUCACUCAAAGAUCUCGUUCUUUCGUGGUGACCAGAUGUUGCUUU